rnacentral:rRNA from 1 species
CUAUGUGGCCUAAAUACCCUAAGGACACCAAAUCCCAUUUGAUCUUGGAAGCUAAGCAGGGUCUGCUCUGGUAAGUACUUGGAUGGGAGACUACCAAUGAAAAUCAGGUCCUGUAGACU